UACAAAGGGUCCAAGCGUUAUCCGGAUUUAUUGGGUUUAAAGGGUGCGUAGGCGGCUUAUUAAGUCAGUGGUGAAAGCCUGUAGCUCAACUACAGAACUGCCAUUGAUACUGAUGAGCUUGAAUAUACUUGAGGUUGGCGGAAUGUGUCAUGUAGCGGUGAAAUGCUUAGAUAUGACACAGAACACCGAUUGCGAAGGCAGCUAGCUAAAGUACAAUUGACGCUGAUGCACGAAAGCGUGGGGAGCAAACAGG
rnacentral:rRNA from 1 species